GCCGGCGGGAGUGGAUAGCGCGCUGUCGACCUGUCGUUGUUGUCGUUCUGAGACGGCCAUUAUAUUUGACUUGUUUGGAUACCAUCCGAUCACCAUUGUGUGCUGCCACCACUUGUAGCCUGCAGUAGUUAUUACCGCUUCUACUGGGAACUUGCGCCAUCCGCUGCACCCUCAUGCCUUUGUGCAGCAGAGACCUUUUCGGUGUGUUGCGCGGUCGCUGCAACGAGCCGGGUUGUGAGUGCAAGCGAUACACCAUUCUGCGCCUGUCGGAAAGUGACAACCUGGUGAGGUGUGACUAUUGUGACCACGUGCCAAAUGCACACGGAAAAAUAUGUGAUCUCGAAACGAAAAAUGCAGCUGAGGCAAAGGUGCAAUGCAAUGUGCCAGGCACCGUGUUCGAGGCCUCAGUGUCACAUGAAACCGUGGAAGCUUGCACAUCUAGUCUCUCCUCAGUGCAAUAUGAGAGGACUGUCCCAGUAGGUGCCUCCAUAGGAAAUGAAUCGGCCUGAAUGCCUGUACAAGAAUCACAGCCUGGCUGCUCUAAAGACUCCGCACCGUGGUCCCAUGUGGAAGAGCCCCCACUUGACAGCCCAGUGGUUGCCAUGGACAAAGAGAUCCGC